rnacentral:rRNA from 1 species
GAUGAACGCUGGCGGCGUGCCUAAUACAUGCAAGUCGAGCGAGCAGACGAGGAGCUUGCUCCUCUGACGUUAGCGGCGGACGGGUGAGUAACACGUGGAUAACCUACCUAUAAGACUGGGAUAACUUCGGGAAACCGGAGCUAAUACCGGAUAAUAUAUUGAACCGCAUGGUUCAAUAGUGAAAGACGGUUUUGCUGUCACUUAUAGAUGGAUCCGCGCCGCAUUAGCUAGUUGGUAAGGUAACGGCUUACCAAGGCAACGAUGCGUAGCCGACCUGGGAGGGUGAUCGGCCACACUGGAACUGAGACACGGUCCAGACUCCUACGGGAGGCAGGAGUAGGGAAUCUUCCGCAAUGGGCGAAAGCCUGACGGAGCAACGCCGCGUGAGUGAUGAAGGUCUUCGGAUCGUAAAACUCUGUUAUUAGGGAAGAACAAAUGUGUAAGUAACUAUGCACGUCUUGACGGUACCUAAUCAGAAAGCCACGGCUAACUACGU